UACGGGGGGGAGCAAGCGUUGUUCGGAUUUACUGGGCGUAAAGGGCUCGUAGGCGGUUUGUCGCGUCGGGUGUGAAAGCCCGGGGCUUAACCCCGGGUCUGCAUUCGAUACGGGCUAGCUAGAGUGUGGUAGGGGAGAUCGGAAUUCCUGGUGUAGCGGUGAAAUGCGCAGAUAUCAGGAGGAACACCGGUGGCGAAGGCGGUUCUCUGGACAGUUCCUGACGCUGAGGCACGAAGGCCAGGGGGAGCAAACGGG
rnacentral:rRNA from 1 species